AUGGAAUGGAAUGGAAUGGAAGACAUUAACGUGUAUCAUACAUGGUAAGAGUGAGUAUUUGAGAAAUUGGUUUCAAUAAUGUGUGUGUGUGUGUGUGUGUGUACUGCGACACAAAGAAACAUAUUUUGGACUGUGAGUUGUGGUCAAAAUAGCCUUAAAAUAAUUGAACUAAGCCAGAGGCAUUCCUAUCUCCUUUAUCAGACACUCACUUUCCCAGCCUUUCUUGCAGUUAGAGUAACCACAGUUGUGCAAAUAGUAAAAACUGAAGUGUACAGACAGGUUCUGCUCAGUGAGACUUUCAGGGAAAGUUUUCCUUCCAGAAUACAAAGACAGAGUUUCUCCAGAAAGACAGUCUUUUGCUCCUGCUUCCAGUUUUGAAUACAGUUGAGAUGACUAGAGCUGUGGCAGCCAUUUUGCAACCACGGGACAACAAACCUGAGGCUGAAAAGCCCACCAGCAGAGGAUGGUUGAUGGGAGCUGACAAAAAGACCGUGUUCUUUUUUUUCUUUUGAGACGGAGUCUCGCUCUGUCACCCAGGCUGGAGUGCAGUGGCGCAAUCUUGACUCACUGCAACCUCCGCCUCCCAGGUUCAAGUGACUCCUGCCUCAGCCUCCUGAGUAGCUGGGAUUAGAGGCACGUGCCACCACACCCGGCUAAUUUUUGUAUUUUUAGUAGAGACAGGGUUCACCACGUUAGCCAGGCUGGUCUUGAACUCCUGACCUCUAGUGAUCCACCCGCCUCAGCCUCCCAAAGUGCUGGGAUUUCAGGCGUGAGCCAUCGCGCCGGCCUGACUGUACUCUUCAUAACUCUUCAUGGGCUGCCCGCCUCCAAACUUGUUAAUCCUUAUGGUUUAAGCCACUAUGUGGUUUCCCAUUAUUUGCAGACAAAUACAACCUGACGCAAAAAGAGCUCCCAUUUCUGGAUUUUCUUUGCAACCCAUGGCAAGGCCUCUCACAUGGGUCAAGGGCUGUUCUUUGUGGGUCACUGAUUAAGAAGAGAGGUCAAACAAAAUGUGAGAGGGCUGGUGGAAAGGGGAUCUGAAACAAAGGCCACUGUGGUUGAUUGCAAAGUGGCCAGAAAUUCUCCUCCCUCGUCCCACACUCUUUGCAGCUCCUCCUAUUAAGAAGUGGGGUCUAUGACUUCAGCCCUUGACCCUGGGCUGGCUUCUUGACUUGCUUUGGCCAACAGAAUGUGGUGAAAGUGAUGGUGUGUGAUUCUUUUUUUGAGAUGGAGUCUUGCUCUUGUUGCCCAGGCUGGAGUGCAGUGGCAUGAUCUCGGCUCACUGCAACCUCCACCUCCCGGGUUCAAGCGAUUCUCCUGCCUCAGCCUCCUGAGUAGCUGGGAUUACAGGUGCGUGCCACCACACCCGGCUAAUUUUUGUAUUUUUAGUAGAGACGGGGUUUCACCAUGUUGGUCAGGCUGGUCUUGAACUGACCUCGUGAUCUGCCCGCCUCGGCCUCCCAAAGUGCUGGGAUUACAGGCAUGAGCCAAGGAGCCUGGCCGAUGGUGUGUGAUUCUGAGCCUGGCACACUUCCAGUCUUUGCCCAGCUGCCAGGUGAAGAAGCCCAGGCUGGCCUGCAAGAGGAUGAGAGCCACGUGCCCAUCACCCCAUCACCCCAGCUAACAGCCAGCCAAGCCCUAGACGCAGUCACCAGCUGUCCAACAGCUGACUACAGACACCCAGCCCAGGCCAGAAGCACCUAGCUACGCCCAGUCCAAAUUCUAACCGUUGGGAUCAUGGUUUUCUUUUUUCUGUUUAUUAUUAUUUUGAUUUUCUGAGACAGGGUCUCGCUCUGUUGGCCAGGAUGGACUGCAGUGGUGUAAUCACAGCUCACUGCAGCCUUGACUUCCUGGGCUCCAGGGAUCCUCCCACCUUAGUUUCCUGAAGAGCUGGGACUAUAGGCGCACGCCACCACACCUGGUUAAUUCUUUGCAGAGACGGGGUCCCACUAUGUUGCCCAGGCAGGUCUCAAAUGCCUGGGCUCAAGCGAUCCUCCCAUCUUGACCUCCCAAAGUGCUGGGAUUACAGACAUGAGCCACUGUGCCCAGCCAGGGCUGUGUGUUAUGUAGUGACAGCUCACUGAUACAGCUCUCUCUGGGGACUUAGGAACCAAGUUUGACCCCACAUCUGACUCAUCCAAGUUUUAUCCAUCCCACCUCCCAUAUCUCUCCAGUCAGUGCCCUCCUGUCCAUGACCACUAUUCUGGCCCAAAUGUAGUAAAUGUAUUUUCUCAUCACC
rnacentral:lncRNA from 10 species